rnacentral:miRNA from 1 species
UAGGUUAACUGAGGGCCCUGGUUUGCCCAGGACUCAGGGGUUCCCCAGGACCAGGGGCUUUCAGUCCUGGGCAAGCAGAGAUGGUUGGUCACCAUGGUGGUAA